AGACAGGGACACAUUUAUGCCGAUAUGACAUCAAUUCGUAUAUAUCAAAUUCUACUCUGUGUCCUGUUCUCCCAGUUACACCACAUUUGAGUUUGUUAAAUCGAUGUAUACCAAGUAGUAUGUUUCAAUUAGCGACAAGUGUAGCAUCAUCUUUUAGUAGCAUGGCGUCGAGUGAUGUGGCACAGAGUAUCGCUACUGAUAUUGUACUGAGCUGGAGAGAGAUCCUGUAUAUGGCUGCAAUGUCAUUUGCGGCAUCGUUUUUGAUAGUGAUAUUGUUACGGUUAUUUGCUGGUGUUAUUGUAUGGUUGAUAGUAAUUCUAACAACACUUCUAGUUCUUGCUGCUGCAGG